rnacentral:rRNA from 1 species
CGGCCCCCGACGAGCGGCGCACGGGUGCGUAACGCGUAUGCAACCUGCCCUACACAGGGGAAUAGCCCGUCGAAAGGCGGAUUAAUGCCCCAUGGUUCCCGUCGGGGGCAUCCCGGGCGGGGUAAAGAGCUAUCGGUGUAGGAUGGGCAUGCGUGCCAUUAGCUGGACGGUGGGGUAACGGCCCACCGUGGCGACGAUGGCUAGGGGUUCUGAGAGGAAGGCCCCCCACACUGGGACUGAGACACGGCCCAG